rnacentral:misc_RNA from 1 species
AAUUCUCAACCCCUCACAGUUUUUUCUGUGAUUGGGGCUUGGAUUUGGAGUUUUUGCUGGCCCUUUAAAGGGGUCAGCUACUCUGAAAUGCAUUAGCGGAACCGUUUGCGAUCCGUCACAGGUGUGAUAAUUAUCUACGCCGUGUAAUCGCUCUCUGUCUGUUCAGCUGCUAAUCGUCCAGUCUUCAUGGACAAUCAUAUUGAAUAU